rnacentral:misc_RNA from 1 species
GAAAUGCGAUAAGUAAUGUGAAUUGCAGAAUUCAGUGAAUCAUCGAAUCUUUGAACGCACAUUGCGCCCCGUGGUAUUCCGCGGGGCAUGCCUGUUCGAGCGUCAUUACACCACUCAAGCCUCGCUUGGUAUUGGGCGACGCGGUACGCCGCGCGCCUCAAAUCUUUCGGCUGGGUCUGAAUCGUCCCUCAGCGUUGUGGAAACUAUUCGCUAAAGGGUUCGCUUUCGGUCACGCCGUUAAACAAAACCAUUUUCAUUAAAGGUUGACCUCGGAUCAGGUAGGGAUACCCGCUGAACUUAA